rnacentral:rRNA from 1 species
CAGUCGCCGCGGUAAUACGGAGGGUGCAAGCGUUAAUCGGAAUUACUGGGCGUAAAGCGCACGCAGGCGGUCUGUCAAGUCAGAUGUGAAAUCCCCGGGCUUAACCUGGGAACUGCAUUUGAAACUGGCAGGCUAGAGUCUUGUAGAGGGGGGUAGAAUUCCAGGUGUAGCGGUGAAAUGCGUAGAGAUCUGGAGGAAUACCGGUGGCGAAGGCGGCCCCCUGGACAAAGACUGACGCUCAGGUGCGAAAGCGUGGGGAGCAAACAGGAUUAGAGACCCCAGUAGUCCCUGUCUCUUAUAC